CAAUUUGAGCAACAUGCGAUGGAAAUCGAAGUCCUGGGGACAAGUGCAGGGCAAAAGGGCCUUAACUACAGGGCAAUGAGCCAUGCUAACGUGGCGUGGGCGGGAGGGAAAGUAGCAACCUAGCUUUUGCCAUAAGUAGUGGGGACGAGCGAAUUUUAAGCGCCAGCGUGAAUCAUGUGACUGCGGAUUUCUGAAUUAAUCAGUCAUGCGUGUUGUCAGUGUUCGCAUUUUAACUGUAGGCCGCACCGGUGCGGUGCGCUAUUAGUUUUUAUGGUUUUUAUCAUUUUUAUCGAUUUUUUUAUUCACAUUGUGUUCUUAAUAGCGACUUUUUAUAUUGUUAACGUCAAGAAACGUGGACGAAGCUGCGCUAACAGGGCCGAGUGUCAAUGAAGUUGAACUUCAGUGGAAAGCCAGUCAUUGCUUAUCUGCAAAGUACAUCGAUGCUGACCGAAACUUUCACCCUUCCAGUCACUUUCCAUACAGAGGACACACCGUUAAGGUUCAUGUAUACAAGUGUUGGUAUUGCAGACUUCCCACAGGAUACCGUCUACCUCUUCAGACAUCUUGUGCCGCUGAAACAAAUGGAAGAGUAGGAUUGUCUGAAGGUUGUGGCUUGGAGAAUGUUUGGCAUCCCAGCCAUCUCUAAGAUGUAGACUGCCAGAUCGUUUGUUUUUACACAUCCUCUGACUGAACUGUGUACAUCUUAGAUAUCAGACCUGUUUAACCAGUCAGCUGCUGGACGAAGACCUGUUCCUUUGAGAAACCAAUCCCUGGCCAAGUAAUUAUCAAGGGUCAAUCAUCAUGCAAGGUCCACAAACAGCCAUGGCGGUGGUUUCAUCAGCUCCAUGACCAGUUGCACCCUCUUGACUCAGUUAAUGGAGGAACAGUUACUAGAGAUCUGGGUGCCGUACCCAAACUCACCUUUGCUUGCUGCUUUCAGUCGUCAUGGUAAGCUAGAUGUCUGUUAUUUCUUAUUAGGCAAUUGAUUUAAAGAGUACAGUACAUGAAAUUGUAUUAUAACUGGAUCAUUGAACUUUCAUUUUAUGACACUCCUUCCACGAAAGAAUAAGAUGUGCAUUAUACCAACUGAGAGGUAUAUUUCCUGAUGUGGCUUGCAUGUGCAAGUUGCAUUGUUGUAUUUGAAGUUGAUGCCAUCCACAAAAUGUGUUUCAUCUGUGUUUCCAUUGUUAAUUCUCUACAUGUACACAUACAUUAUACUGGCUUAUUAAAGUCAGAGUUGAUUAACAUCCUUGGGCCUGCUUUAAGCUUCCAUGUAAAUGUACCAUUGUACAUUUAUAGGUUUUACCGUAUGCAGAUGAGUCAACAAGAUUUUGCAGAAAAGCUGGUUUUGUGACGUAUUUUGUGAACACUCAUUGAAAGGGAAAUUUGCUGUCCCAGUGAUGGAGGCUUAAUUCCCAGUACAUACCGGUACAUAUAUACUGGUCAUCCAGUACGUAUCCAAAAAUGCCCAGGCUGAUAUGUGCCAGUGUGCAAAUACCUGAUUAUUUAAUAUCUUUGUCCUUCUAAUUCCCUUCUAAUUCAUUUUUAAAACUACAUGUAGCUUCAGCCGAAGCCUCUUGAUCUCCUCCACAGUGAAGUCUUUCAUGAACUUUCCUUAUCAUGUAUCAUUGCUGCUGUAGCCUACAAUGUACCUGCGUCAGAAUGCCUCCUCACUGAUCAAGUCGUCAUGCAUGUUUCUUUGUACAUAAAUGGCCCAUCACAAGGUGUGUCACACACAAAAAAAAUUGUGUCAGUGUCAAUUCAAUAAGUUGUUUCUCCAUAUUUUGUGAAAUUCAGGUUUUUUUUUUAUUUUGAUUCAGAUUUACCCAAAGAAUUAUUACACUGUUAAUUUCAUUGAAAAUACUGCCCAUGACGUAAUUAGUGACCAGUUAUUUAAACGUUGUUUCUUAGUAAAGUUGCAUUCGUGCUAAAGUUCCAUUUUCCUGUGAUUUAAUUCAACACAAAACUUUACCGUGAGACUGCAAACUCAACAAUAUAUUUUUUGUUUUUACCCUAUUUUUGGACCUCCAUGUACAUGUACAUGUAUUGAAUUUCCCUUGAAAACUUUGUUCCUUAACCAGUCUUUUUGAAGUGGGCAUAGUUUACGUCAUUAAUGCAUACUGUCUCGUACUGCCAGUUCACUGCCCAGUCUGGGCAGUUCACUUCAAUGUGGUAAGGAAGGGGGAAUUUGCUGUGCCUUACCUUUGACACGCGGAAGUGUGUUUGUGGCCCAUGCGUCGAGCUCCAGCCUUGCUACAUGUACAUGUAUGUAUGUACUAUUACCCACUUAAAAUAGUGGCAUCUUGCAACUUGAGUAUUUAAAUGGAUGCAAGACAUCAGAGAAAUCUCUCUGUGAUAAAAAUUUGUGCCGUGGUGAUAUCAGAUAAUUAAUGUGCAACCUGAGGGAUACACACACCCCUCUUUUCAGGGACUAAAAUGUGACAUAUUGCCUCACUCAUUUAAACAAAUAAAAAGUCUGUUGGAUACAGAAAUAUCAGUUUUCAAACCCAGGGUGUCUAAAGGUACUUAUACUGCAAGCAAGCUUGGCGUCUCAAACAAGACUUUGGAAUGUCGGUCAAUAAUUAGGUACUCAUACGUGUACAAUCCUAUACCGGGGUACUUCAAGGAAAUGUUCCUUACAGAGUAUGCUGGUACAUGUAUUUGGAUGUGGUUUCUGGUAAGUGCAAUUGAUAGAAGUUUAUGCUGGAGUAUAUGCACUAUUGUCACGUCAUUGGCUCCAGUGUUGGUUUGGUAACAGUAACAUCAUAGAAAUUGAUCACACAAUCAUAAAGAGUAUUAUCAUGCAUUUAAAAGACUAGCAUACUGUACGUGUAAAUGUACUAGUAUUUGAACUAGUUGAAUGUGCUGCUUAUCCACCCCGAGUUGAAGUGCACCCCCAAGCGGCAAAGGAAAGACAGGUGGUAGUACGUUUUCCAAGCGGGUUCUUGCG